UACGUAGGGUGCGAGCGUUAAUCGGAAUUACUGGGCGUAAAGGGCGCGUAGGCGGCCUUCUAAGUCGAACGUGAAAUCCCCGGGCUCAACCUGGGAAUUGCGUUGGAGACUGCAAGGCUAGAAUCUGGCAGAGGGGGGUAGAAUUCCACGUGUAGCAGUGAAAUGCGUAGAUAUGUGGAGGAACACCGAUGGCGAAGGCAGCCCCCUGGGUCAAGAUUGACGCUCAUGCACGAAAGCGUGGGGAGCAAACAGG
rnacentral:rRNA from 1 species